GAGCCACUGAACGAAUUUAUUCGAUAUUUUAUGGUUAAAAUCCCUCCAAAAAGCGAGUUACCCUUUUGUAGCACUUCCUUAUCAGCGUGGGCUGAGUUGGAGACGGUGUGCGUGAGGCAGAAGUGCAGUUUACUCGUCCUUGAGAAGGGAGUGGAACCGGAGUUACUUGAGCCUGGAGUUUGUGGAGCUCUUUGAAAGCAUCUUGGCUAGGUUUUUUGAGGACCUUGAAUUAAAUUGGAUUUGGAUUCUGGAUUCUCCCUGAAGAGGGGGAUGGCGAGCUAACCCUUGAUUGACGGACCUGGCUGCUUCCUUUUCCCAAGGAGCACAAUCUUCACUUCCUACCUCUCCAGUGUGGUAGGAUUGCGAACUGCUUCUGCAGUGGAUAGGAUAAAAACUGAACAGUGCACUUUUAUUUUCAUACAAAUUGAGACACUCUUCACUUAUUUUGAAGGGACACUUUAAUUUAUUAUUUUUCUGGCACCAAUCUGAACUGUUGUAUAUUAGAGAGCCGGCUCUAAUAGGCAGUCAUUGUGAAUAUAUUGUAAA